CCUGCUGGCAUUUACAAGCUGGCUUUGAGUCACCUGUCUGUGCAAAGUGCCAGAAUCCAGGAGAGAGGAAACAGAUGAGGAAGCAGAGGUUCUUAUCGGUGGCUUGUCCAAGAUCAUACCACUAGCAAGAGCCUGGACCUAGUUCUUCAAAUUCCACAUCUUAGUCAUUGGUUAUCCCCAGUGACAUGAAAGGGAAAAACUUUGUAGAAUCCAGAUAACUAUCUGUGUAUAUUGGGGAAAUCACUUAACCCCUCUGGCCCCUGAGUCUGCUCAUGUGUAAAAUAAACAGGUUGUAUCAGA